UACGAAGGGUGCAAGCGUUGUUCGGAUUUAUUGGGCGUAAAGCGCGCGCAGGCGGAUUAGUAAGUCAGGUGUGAAAUCUCGGGGCUCAACCUCGAAACUGCGCCUGAAACUACUAAUCUAGAGUUAUCUAGGGGGAAGGGGAAUUUCACGUGUAGGGGUAAAAUCCGUAGAGAUGUGAAGGAACACCUGGGGCGAAGGCGCCUUCCUGGGGAUACACUGACGCUGAGGCGCGAAAGCGUGGGGAGCAAAC
rnacentral:rRNA from 1 species